GCCUACCGGCCUCCUGGGCCGGAUUGUUGAUCUGAAGCGCGCGGGCAAGGACCUGGGGCACCUUCUCCCCUAUGCCCAGAAGUGGAAUGAGGCGGAUAUCUCCGCUUCUACCCGCGGCCUGGGGAAGGAUCGCCUUCCGGCACCAGAUCCUGCCGGGGCUCGGUGCACUGAAGAACACUUCUCGCGGCUUAAACGCGCCGUGAAAGAGUUUGACAGUGCCUGGUACGAUGCUACCAACAACGUGGUGGUAAGUUUUGCCAACUUUCUUUUAUUUUUGUUGAUGCCGGUUUCUUUUCUUUCCGGAUCUUAUCUAUUCUCCCAGUCCCCGAGUUUCGUGGUGAAAAUGCAGUUUUCGGCGCGAAACUUUAACUAGAGGCAUGUGAAACCGGCAUGGCCAGUCCCCGAGUUUCGGGUUGAAACCUUGUUUCUUUCUUUCUCACACCCAUCUUCCCUUGAACAGAGCACUGCCGACGCCCGGAAGCAACUCUUUGAGGAGCUUCUGUGGGAGCACCGGGACCUUGCUGAGGCCCACAGCCACUGCCAAGUUGUUCCGGAAGCUACCAUCGAGGCCCUGAAGGCCCAGGUCGCCAAGCUUCAAGGCGAGAAGGAGCAGCUCCUCAAGGAGCACAACGAGGCACUGGAGGCCCAGAAGACCGCCCUGGGGGAGCUCAAGGAACAGGCUAUACAAGCCGCGCUCCGGCAUGAGCAAGCCUUGAAGGAUGCCC